rfam:Schistosoma haematobium scaffold768_2, whole genome shotgun sequence.
AUCCAGCUGACGAGUCUCAAAUAGAACGAAAAGUGCGUCCUAGAU